UACGUAGGGGGCAAGCGUUGUCCGGAAUCAUUGGGCGUAAAGAGCGUGUAGGCGGCCUGGCAAGUCUCGCGUGAAAUCUUGCGGCUUAACCGCAAGCGGUCGUGAGAAACUGCCUGGCUAGAAUCCGGAAGAGGAGAGCGGAAUUCCUGGUGUAGCGGUGGAAUGCGCAGAUAUCAGGAAGAACACCCGUGGCGAAGGCGGCUCUCUGGGACGGUAUUGACGCUGAGACGCGAAAGCAUGGGGAGCGAACAGG
rnacentral:rRNA from 1 species